rnacentral:rRNA from 1 species
UACGGGGGGGGCAAGCGUUGUUCGGAAUUACUGGGCGUAAAGGGCGCGUAGGCGGCCUGCUAAGUCGGAUGUGAAAUCCCUCGGCUCAACCGAGGAACUGCGUCCGAUACUGGCGGGCUUGAAUCCGGGAGAGGGAUGCGGAAUUCCAGGUGUAGCGGUGAAAUGCGUAGAUAUCUGGAGGAACACCGGUGGCGAAGGCGGCAUCCUGGACCGGCAUUGACGCUGAGGCGCGAAAGCCAGGGGAGCAAACGGG